GUGCGUAACGCGUAUACAAUCUGCCUUUCACUGGGGGAUAGCCCGAAGAAAUUUGGAUUAAUACCCCAUAGUAUAGGAGCACGGCAUCGUGAUACUAUUAAAGCUACGGUGGUGAAAGAUGAGUAUGCGUUCUAUUAGCUAGUUGGAGAGGUAACGGCUCCCCAAGGCGAUGAUAGAUAGGGGUUCUGAGAGGGAUGUCCCCCACACUGGUACUGAGAUACGGACCAGACUCCUACGGGAGGCAGCAGUGAGGAAUAUUGGACAAUGGUCGGAAGACUGAUCCAGCCAUGCCGCGUGCAGGAUGAAGGUCUUAUGGAUUGUAAACUGCU
rnacentral:rRNA from 1 species